rnacentral:rRNA from 1 species
UACGUAGGGUGCAAGCGUUGUCCGGAAUCAUUGGGCGUAAAGCGCGCGUAGGUGGCUUCGUAAGUCCGUUGUGAAAGUCAAAGGCUCAACCUUUGAAUGCCGAUGGAUACUGCGAAGCUAGAGUACGGAAGAGGCGAGUGGAAUUCCUGGUGUAGCGGUGGAAUGCGCAGAUAUCAGGAGGAACACCGAUGGCGAAGGCAGCUCGCUGGGACGGUACUGACGCUGAGGCGCGAAAGCGUGGGGAGCAAACAGG